rnacentral:rRNA from 1 species
UUAAGCGACUAAGCGUACACGGUGGAUGCCCUGGCAGUCAGAGGCGAUGAAGGACGUGCUAAUCUGCGAUAAGCGUCGGUGAGGUGAUAUGAACCGUUAUAACCGGCGAUUUCCGAAUGGGGAAACCCAGUGUGUUUCGACACACUAUCAUUAACUGAAUCCAUAGGUUAAUGAGGCGAACCGGGGGAACUGAAACAUCUAAGUACCCCGAGGAAAAGAAAUCAACCGAGAUUCCCCCAGUAGCGGCGAGCGAACGGGGAGGAGCCCAGAGCCUGAAUCAGUGUGUGUGUUAGUGGAAGCGUCUGGAAAGGCGCGCGAUACAGGGUGACAGCCCCGUACACAAAAAUGCACAUAUUGUGAGCUCGAUGAGUAGGGCGGGACACGUGGUAUCCUGUCUGAAUAUGGGGGGACCAUCCUCCAAGGCUAAAUACUCCUGACUGACCGAUAGUGAACCAGUACCGUGAGGGAAAGGCGAAAAGAACCCCGGCGAGGGGAGUGAAAAAGAACCUGAAACCGUGUACGUACAAGCAGUGGGAGCCUCUUAAUGGGGUGACUGCGUACCUUUUGUAUAAUGGGUCAGCGACUUAUAUUCUGUAGCAAGGUUAACCGAAUAGGGGAGCCGAAGGGAAACCGAGUCUUAACUGGGCGUUAAGUUGCAGGGUAUAGACCCGAAACCCGGUGAUCUAGCCAUGGGCAGGUUGAAGGUUGGGUAACACUAACUGGAGGACCGAACCGACUAAUGUUGAAAAAUUAGCGGAUGACUUGUGGCUGGGGGUGAAAGGCCAAUCAAACCGGGAGAUAGCUGGUUCUCCCCGAAAGCUAUUUAGGUAGCGCCUCGUGAAUUCAUCUCCGGGGGUAGAGCACUGUUUCGGCAAGGGGGUCAUCCCGACUUACCAACCCGAUGCAAACUGCGAAUACCGGAGAAUGUUAUCACGGGAGACACACGGCGGGUGCUAACGUCCGUCGUGAAGAGGGAAACAACCCAGACCGCCAGCUAAGGUCCCAAAGUCAUGGUUAAGUGGGAAACGAUGUGGGAAGGCCCAGACAGCCAGGAUGUUGGCUUAGAAGCAGCCAUCAUUUAAAGAAAGCGUAAUAGCUCACUGGUCGAGUCGGCCUGCGCGGAAGAUGUAACGGGGCUAAACCAUGCACCGAAGCUGCGGCAGCGACGCUUAUGCGUUGUUGGGUAGGGGAGCGUUCUGUAAGCCUGUGAAGGUGGCCUGUGAGGGUUGCUGGAGGUAUCAGAAGUGCGAAUGCUGACAUAAGUAACGAUAAAGCGGGUGAAAAGCCCGCUCGCCGGAAGACCAAGGGUUCCUGUCCAACGUUAAUCGGGGCAGGGUGAGUCGACCCCUAAGGCGAGGCCGAAAGGCGUAGUCGAUGGGAAACAGGUUAAUAUUCCUGUACUUGGUGUUACUGCGAAGGGGGGACGGAGAAGGCUAUGUUGGCCGGGCGACGGUUGUCCCGGUUUAAGCGUGUAGGCUGGUUUUCCAGGCAAAUCCGGAAAACCAAGGCUGAGGCGUGAUGACGAGGCACUACGGUGCUGAAGCGACAAAUGCCCUGCUUCCAGGAAAAGCCUCUAAGCAUCAGGUAACAUCAAAUCGUACCCCAAACCGACACAGGUGGUCAGGUAGAGAAUACCAAGGCGCUUGAGAGAACUCGGGUGAAGGAACUAGGCAAAAUGGUGCCGUAACUUCGGGAGAAGGCACGCUGAUAUGUAGGUGAAGCGACUUGCUCGUGGAGCUGAAAUCAGUCGAAGAUACCAGCUGGCUGCAACUGUUUAUUAAAAACACAGCACUGUGCAAACACGAAAGUGGACGUAUACGGUGUGACGCCUGCCCGGUGCCGGAAGGUUAAUUGAUGGGGUUAGCGGUAACGCGAAGCUCUUGAUCGAAGCCCCGGUAAACGGCGGCCGUAACUAUAACGGUCCUAAGGUAGCGAAAUUCCUUGUCGGGUAAGUUCCGACCUGCACGAAUGGCGUAAUGAUGGCCAGGCUGUCUCCACCCGAGACUCAGUGAAAUUGAACUCGCUGUGAAGAUGCAGUGUACCCGCGGCAAGACGGAAAGACCCCGUGAACCUUUACUAUAGCUUGACACUGAACAUUGAGCCUUGAUGUGUAGGAUAGGUGGGAGGCUUUGAAGUGUGGACGCCAGUCUGCAUGGAGCCGACCUUGAAAUACCACCCUUUAAUGUUUGAUGUUCUAACGUGGGCCCCUAAUCGGGGUUGCGGACAGUGUCUGGUGGGUAGUUUGACUGGGGCGGUCUCCUCCUAAAGAGUAACGGAGGAGCACGAAGGUUGGCUAAUCCUGGUCGGACAUCAGGAGGUUAGUGCAAUGGCAUAAGCCAGCUUGACUGCGAGCGUGACGGCGCGAGCAGGUGCGAAAGCAGGUCAUAGUGAUCCGGUGGUUCUGAAUGGAAGGGCCAUCGCUCAACGGAUAAAAGGUACUCCGGGGAUAACAGGCUGAUACCGCCCAAGAGUUCAUAUCGACGGCGGUGUUUGGCACCUCGAUGUCGGCUCAUCACAUCCUGGGGCUGAAGUAGGUCCCAAGGGUAUGGCUGUUCGCCAUUUAAAGUGGUACGCGAGCUGGGUUUAGAACGUCGUGAGACAGUUCGGUCCCUAUCUGCCGUGGGCGCUGGAGAACUGAGGGGGGCUGCUCCUAGUACGAGAGGACCGGAGUGGACGCAUCACUGGUGUUCGGGUUGUCAUGCCAAUGGCACUGCCCGGUAGCUAAAUGCGGAAGAGAUAAGUGCUGAAAGCAUCUAAGCACGAAACUUGCCCCGAGAUGAGUUCUCCCUGAGACUUAGAGUCUCCUGAAGGAACGUUGAAGACGACGACGUUGAUAGGCCGGGUGUGUAAGCGCAGCGAUGCGUUGAGCUAACCGGUACUAAUGAACCGUGAGGUUUAACCUU